UAGUUUUCCUAAGAUUAAAACCUUUUUUUAUCUUCAUCCAUUCGUCUCCCUCUUUUCUGCUCCGCAUCUGCAUGCAGUUUUCAAUGGCGGGAAGGAUGCGCGCCUUCUCAUACUUCAUUACCGAGAAUCAAUGGAAGAGGCCAGUGUGUGAAGAUGUGGUUGUAAAUGCCCUGGUAGAUACGUAUUCAAAAAUGUGAUCUCAUGGACUGCAAUGGAUGCAGAAUAUCCGCAAAAUGGUGUUCUUUGGGAGGCCUUAAAUCUCUUUAAAAAAUGCCUCAAACAAAUGUUGUGUCAUUGUAGUGUUUCCUCGAAAAUUGCAUUGAAGUGAGAGAAUGGUUGUACAUUAAAAUGACAUCAACGUAGCUAGUUUAAUGGGCUGUUUUUUUAUGUGGCAGCUUCCCCUGAAAAUUUUCUCACAUUAGCAUUAAUACUUUCUACUUGGUUGUGCAGUAGCAACAAAAUUUAGAGACAUCGACAUGGAUCAUAUCAAAUCUUAACAUUCUCCAACAAGAUAUUUUCCUUCGUCAAAUCUGAUUUCAGUCAGAUGUAUUUGUAAUAAAUGCCCGGAUUGACAUGCAUGCGAAAUGUGGAUGCAUACACAAGGUACGUGCACUGUUAGACGAAAUGCCUGAAACAGAUUUUUUCUCAUGGCAUGCAAUUAUUGCAGGAUACGCAGAAAACAGAUGUGUUGAAAAGGCUGUAGGAAUUUUUAAGCGAAUGCAACUGUCUGGUGUAAAACUGGUCUCCCCAGCUUUUUACAGUAUCCUUCCACUGUGUAAAAAUGGGUGCUUUAGAACAAGAACAAUAUAUGGUCAAAUGCUAGUUUGUGUUUGAGGAUUUUGCUCAUUUAUUUCAACGCCAUGGACAAUUACACAAAUUUCCCCAACAGAGUUACUAGCAACACAAGCAACAUAUGCUGCACAAAGGGUUCAAGGCUACAAGAGAAACUUGAAUAAUAUGGGAUGCUUCUUGUUCAGUUAAAAAAUACUGCUCGACAAUUCUAGAUAUGGCAUGCUGAAAACACUACAGUUCCAACGUAUUCAAAUCUGGUUGUCCUCAUAAAAAUAUGUAGUUAAAUCAAGGAGCUUUUGUGCUACACCAUUAAACUUUGUGGACAUGUAUAGUAUGGAGGAGUUUGGGCCAGUUUAAGUACUUAAUUUUGAGGUUGUAGUGUUUGGGAGAUUAGUGUCAAUAAUGGUUAUGUUGUAUCCAUGGUAUAUUUUUUGUGUUGUGGAGAAUCUCCCACAUCAUUUUGUAAGAUACAGAGCAUUGGAAAUAAUCACAAUAUGGUAUUUUUAGUCAA